rnacentral:rRNA from 1 species
AUUGAACGCUGGCGGCAUGCCUUACACAUGCAAGUCGAACGGUAACAGGUCUUCGGAUGCUGACGAGUGGCGAACGGGUGAGUAAUACAUCGGAACGUGCCCGAGAGUGGGGGAUAACGAAGCGAAAGCUUUGCUAAUACCGCAUACGAUCUCAGGAUGAAAGCAGGGGACCGCAAGGCCUUGCGCUCACGGAGCGGCCGAUGGCAGAUUAGGUAGUUGGUGGGACAAAAGCUUACCACGCCGACGAUCUGUAGCUGGUCUGAGAGGACGCCCAGCCACACUGGGACUGAGACACGGCACAGACUCCUACGGGAGGCAGCAGUGGGGAAUUUUGGACAAUGGGCGCAAGCCUGAUCCAGCCAUGCCGCGUGCAGGAUGAAGGCCUUAGGGUUGUAAACUGCUUUUGUACGGAACGAAAAGACUCUGGUUAAUACCUGGGGUCCAUGACGGUACCGUAAGAAUAAGCACCGGCUAAUUACGUGCCAGCAGCCGCCGUAA